GUUUCAGAUUUUAAAAAUUUAUCGAUCAAAAGUGAUUAAGGAAUACAAGAUCACGGUUUAAUGAUUUUGCUUUACAUAAACUAAUCGAUAAUAAAUUGUUACUCCUGGCGAAACAGAGUACAGAUUCAUCAGGAAUAGACGGAUGUUGAGAAAUCAAAACAAAGUGAGCACAAUGUCUGCCCUGCUUCAAUGGAUUAUAGAGACGUCCUAAAAAACAACAUCUACUGGUCAGCAUCUCCAAGGAAAUACCAUUUAAGGUAUUUCUAAAAUGUGGCGGUCCCGUCGAUCCAGUUCUUCGUCUGCCUACAAAAGACACCAGAUCCAAGACAGACUUAACCUCUCCCGCCGGAAAUCGUCGAUAUUCGGGGACCCCCUGGACGACAGAGAUCUGACCUCGAUCCCCACUAAGUCACAGAAUCCAACAUACGAGGAUUCCACGCGGCGGUUUACCAUUUUCUCUAUCGUUCUUGGAAUAAUAAUUUUUUGUGUGAUAUGUUUUUCUUUUUAUCAGAGAGCUCGGUUUAUUAUAUAGGAUGUGAGGUUAACUGUAAGUGGCAAAAGACACAAAAGAACAUUGAAUUUUUGUAUAUUGUACAUAACAUCUCUAAUGAAUAUUUCAUUUUUAUUACCAUGAUAAUAAAAGAAAGUGAAUCCA